rnacentral:rRNA from 1 species
UACGUAGGGAGCAAGCGUUGUUCGGAUUUACUGGGCGUAAAGGGCGCGUAGGCGGCGUGUCAAGUCGAUUGUGAAAUCUCCGGGCUUAACUCGGAACGGCCAAUCGAUACUGACGUGCUAGAGUGCAGAAAGGGCAAUCGGAAUUCUUGGUGUAGCGGUGAAAUGCGUAGAUAUCAAGAGGAACACCUGAGGCGAAGGCGGGUUGCUAGGCUGACACUGACGCUGAGGCGCGAAAGCUAGGGGAGCGAACGGG